rnacentral:tRNA from 1 species
GGUUAGAAUACCGGCCUGUCACGCCGGGGGUCGCGGGUUCGAGUCCCGUCCGCUCCGCCA